CUGGGACUCUUUCUUUCUACUCCAAGAGACUGCCAUGAAUGGAACCUGCCUCAAUAACUGCUUAAAUGUUUUGUGGAUUUUGAAGGCUCUGAAGACACAAGAGACUCAGCAAGACUUUUAUAUGCGCAGAAAUGGAAAGUGCAAGAAAUACCAACUACAGAAGAUUGGAUUUAUAAAUUGCUGUACAUGGCUGAGAUGGACAAAAUGACAAGAAAACUCAAAGAUCUUGAUCCAGGAGAAUACAUUGCAGAUUGGGGGAAAUUGAAACAAUAUUUAGA